AGGAGAAUGGCUUAAUGAAAGCCAUUCCUGAGAGGGAGUUUUAUAUAGCUGGAGACUCUAUCACCAGUUGGAACAGUAUUUGGAUACCACUUACCUCUGAGGCAGUUCUGGAAAUUAUAAAUAUAUUUCUUUCUUGGGAUCAAAAGAAAGCACAUCAAAAUGAGUGAUGGAGUCUACAGACUGAAUUUGCAGCUGUUUUAUGUAAACUGUGAGAAGGAUUUUUCUUCUUCCUUCUGGUGAUCCAGAGCACCAAUGCUGUCUAGAAGUCAUGCUCAUAGAGAAUUAUCACAGGCUUGCCUUACAACUCUUCUUUUACAAAUUCUGUGAUUUUGGUAAGGAAGAGAUCUAAGAUUAAGGUGGCUCCCUUUUACCUACGGAAAUCAGUGAUCCAAAAUGGCCAAAAAUAAUUUUAAAACUGGAUAUAAGCUGACAAGCAAUACCAACUGUAAUAAAUUUCAACCUGAAUCCAGAAGAACCCAGCAAACAACGUCAGUAUAUAACUAGAAACUCUUGAAUCUCCUUGUAACCAAUAUUUAUUUAGAUCCGAGUUUAGAAUUUUAUCAUUAAACCCAUAAAAUAAUCAUAAUAACAUUAUUUUUAAAAGGUAUGAUUUAUUUUCCUCUAUUCUAUUAUGUGCACAAUUCUUUCAUUGUACUACUAGCACAGUAUUGUGGAAAUGUUGGCAAUGUGUAGACAGUCUGUUCGAAAGGAGUAGACAACAGUCUCGUGGUUAAUUUCAGUAGACAAUAGUAGACUCAGUACUCCUACAAGGAGUAGAGUAAUAGGAGUACUGAGUCUACUAUUGUAUACAACUGUCAGUUCACUAGAACUUAAAUUUGCUCAUAAAUAUUUGGUAUGAUUUUUUUUGUUGUUAAACUUUAAGCCUUACCUUGUCUAGUGGUGUGUUUAUUAAUAAGAAUGAGUUAAUCUUGCUCCAUUCUUCUGAAAAUGUGUUGGUAUUUUGGGGGUGUUUGUAUACGUUUUUUUAGAUUUUUUUCCUGUUGUGCACUUUCAAUUCUCAUUCCAGUCCCUCUCACUGAUUCUGAGAUUGAAUGGCUCAUACGUACUCUUAAACAUAGUCAUCUACUGUAUUAUGGUGCUUUGACUAUUUCAUUAUUCUCUUUCUUCACUUCAUGCCCAUGUCAUCAAUUCAGCUAUUGGUUAUUCAGCUUGUUAAUGAAGGAAAAUUGUAGUGACCAUUCAGUCAAAUCACAGAGUAUAGAAAAGGUCAGGGUACUAUAGUGCAUUAUUAUGAUACAUGGAAAAUUAUACAUAAGACAAUGUAUUUUCCAUUCCCUGAUACUUCAUUUCAUAACCAAAUUAUUACAAGAAAAUAUUAUGGCAUAAAAAUAAUUCACACUGAGUACAAAGCCUGCAAUUAAAAUGGUAAAUGGAACUACAUGAAUCUUUCCUGUUGACAAGUAUUGGAGUAAGAAUAAGAUUUUAAUCUUGUAUCACAUAAAAUCAUAGUCUUAUUGUUAUAGUUUUAAAACUUAUGUGGUUUUAAAUCUACUGCAAGAUACAGGUGCCAAAGUAGUCUCUAACCUCUCCCCUUGAGAAGAACCUCAUAAGGAAUUAAAAUGCUAUCUAGACACACUUAAACUGAAAAAGAUGUGAAAUCCCAAACAGCAAAAUUUUUGAUCAAGAAAAUACAGUGAUAAAGAAUGCACCCAGAAUUUUGAGGCCUCAUAAUUUCUACAAUCAUCUGUGAUGGCUGGUAAAGUGUUGACUAUUCUGGCCCAAGCAUUUACUGUGAUAGAAUCAGAGUACUGUUUGAGUUGAAAGGGACCUUUAAAAGGCCCUCUAGUUCAACUUCCCUGCAUCAAACAGGGAAAUCUACAGCUUAAUCCAGCUUCUCAGAGCCUGGUCCAGCCUGAUUUUGGUUGUCUCCAGGGACAGGUCUUCCACCACCAUUUCAGAAUAACUAGCACAACCUGUGCUAGUAAUUCACUACCAUUAUUGCAAAAAAAAUUUUCUUAUAUCCACUCUAGAUCUCCCCUUUUUUAGCUUGAAACCAUUUCCCCUUGAUCUAUCACAACAGAUCCUGCUAAGGAAUCUGUCUCAUUCUUUCUUAAAGCCCACUUUAGUUCCAUAUAACUAUUGGUAAUUUAUUUAAAACUGAAACUUUCUUAUUGGAGCAGAAAUUAAAAUCUCAUCCCCAGUAUCACAGUAGUUACAG